CCAAUCUGGAGCUGAUUUUGAUUGAUUGUCAAUUUAAGAUAUUUCAUGUUUCCAAAAGCGUGCUUGGAUAGUGGGUUUUUCAAUCACCAAAAUGACUUCGUUCGUGCUCGGAAGAUUGUAGUUACUUAUGGUUGUGUUCUCUUAUACAUUUUCGUAUCACAAUUUGUUAGCAAGGUCAAAGUGUUAUGAGGCACUUUAAGUAAAGAGAUAAACUAAUCGUAUGCUCAUUCUCGAAGGGCCCCGCAAUAUUAAGUAAUCCACUAAAAUGGACAUGACAUCGGACAAAGCGUUCUCAAUACGAUAGGACUUAACUUAUAAGCGAUAUUGAUUUUCUCCAAGAUUUGUUACCUUAGUCAAAUUUGCUUGGUUCCAAUGUUACCACGAUUGCAAUACAAGAACAAGAUUCCAAAUAAGUGAUUGAACCAAACUACAGUGAGAAGGAAUAUUUAUUUGUCAGAUAUUGAAAGUUAUCUAAUUUUAUACAAGUUACAACUUCAGUUAUGCUGUUAUCUAUUUUCAUCUAUUUAUUAUCCAGUUAUGCUAUUAUCAAUUUGCAUCCAUUUAUUGACCAUCAAACGGCGAAGUAGGUCAUUGGCUUCGGGAAUCUGUUAGCUAGUAGUUACUGCGGUCAGAUUCUUGUUAUUACACAAUAUUACAAUCAGAGUUAUCUGUUAUAUCGACUCUCAAUGUAUGGUACUGGUUGGCGGUAACAAGUUCCAAAACAUUCUUUAUGAAAUGAAUGUUUUUGAACUUGUUUAGUGGCGGACUUUAUAGGCUGCACCAGUACCGAUGAACUUGAUUUAUCACUGUAUUAUUAUUUAAUUUAGAACAUUAAUCCAUGUAAUCUUCAUUUCCACCUCAAACGUAGUUUCUCAUGUUGAUUUUGGACAUCUGUUGCCAGGGUUCAAGUCAGCACCCCAUUAUUUCAAAAUUUUAUUUCAUUUUAGUUUUUAUUUGAAUUUUGAAUUUUAUUUAUCUAUUUUAUUUGCAUCUAAUUUACGGUUGCCCAAAGACCCUUUGUUUGUGGGUUGGUAACCGACAGAAGCCAUGAUCUUACUUCGCCAAUAAAAUAUAUUUUGAUUUUAAUAACGUCU
rnacentral:lncRNA from 1 species